GGUGGCUCAAUGGUAGAGUGCGUGCCUUGCAUGCAUGAUGCCCUGUGUUUGAUUCCUCAGCACCA
rnacentral:tRNA from 1 species